CUCAUGAAUACAUGCAGGUUUCUAACCUUCUUUAUGUCAAUACUGCAACCAUGGUGUUAUGUAUAUUAAGAUCAGCCUCCUCUUCCGUUGCUCUUAUCUUUCUUCCUAUCUGGAAAGUUUCUCUCUGCAAAAAGAUGAGCUGCUUGUAACACAAGACAUGCUACCCUAAUCAGAGUUCAAAAUGCAUGUAUGAACAAAGAAACAUGGAGCUAUUUUGAUGAGGGCGAGCAAGUUGAUGAGCCACUUUUUCAGCAUACUUAAUGAAUACUUUCAUGAUGCUUCUGAUGUAGGUAUAAGUUGGGUUAGCAUAUUAGACAUGAAUUUUAUAGGGAUGUGUCUUUAAGAUCAAACCCUUCUGGCAGCCCUUCAAGUGUGAGAAGGAUGUGGCUGAUUUGCUUAAGGUUUUGUGGUACGGUUUCAAGAGUUGUGUUAUUACUUGGUACUGUAUAAUAAAAAGGCUACGCAUAUUAUGCCCGUGCUAUGCAUAGAGGGUUAUAAUUUUUAUAGUAAAACAUACGAUGUAGCUGUGUAAGAAUUAUUAUAAGUUGUGUACUAAUAAAUUUAUACUAAUUGUGUUUUGAAGUAUAAUUGUUCUGUAUGUAUUAGAUAUUUUAAAGUAUUUCAAUCAACAUUUUAUUUAAAAAUUUACAUUUAAUCAAUUGAAUUUUUUUAUUUAUCUAAUAAAAUGUUAUUGUACAUUUCUUAUUUUUAAACUUUAGAAAGAAGUUUUUAAAAUCUUAUGAACUAAUGAUUUUUUUUUUAUAAGUUUUGGUUCCUAUGUAUGAAUAUUUAUGCUUUGUUGAGCUCUUUGUUUAUUCCAAUUAUCUGAUUUUUACUCACACAUAUUUUCUUUAUUUGUAUAUCUUAUUCUACUUAAGAUAUACUUUUUGAUCAUUUGUGACACAUCUUCUCUUUGUCACUAAUUUUAUUAUUUUUACUCCACUUAUAUCAUAAAUUAAAAUUGUAUAAAAUCAUUUGCCGAAUUUGAAAUAUUUUAUUCAUUAGAGAAUAGUAAAAUCUUCCUUUAGAAUGAGAAAGAUAGGUAUAUUUCUGUUUUUUUAAAUGUCCAAGUUGAGAUGAAUUUUUGUUUUUAUAUAUUCAUUAUAUUUUAUAAUUAUUAUUUGAAAUUCUUAUGUCCCGUGCAUAGCACGGGGGUUAAUACUAGUUAUUCUAACAUCGAUCUCUCUCUCUCUCUAAAAAUCCAAAUAUACCCUUACCCUCUCCCUCUC